rnacentral:rRNA from 1 species
AAAAAAGGUAAGCUACUAAGAGCGAAUGGUGGAUGCCUUGACUGGUAAAGGCGAUGAAGGACGUACUAGACUGCGAUAAGCUACGGGGAGCUGUCAAGAAGCUUUGAUCCGUAGAUUUCCGAAUGGGGCAACCCAAUGUAUAGAGAUAUACAUUACCUAUAUAGGAGCGAACGAGGGGAAUUGAAACAUCUUAGUACCCUCAGGAAAAGAAAUCAAUAGAGAUUGCGUCAGUAGCGGCGAGCGAAAGCGCAAGAGGGCAAACCCAGUGCUUGCACUGGGGGUUGUAGGACUGCAAUGUGCAAGAGGUGAGUUUAGCAGAACAUUCUGGAAAGUAUAGCCAUAGAGGGUGAUAGUCCCGUAUGCGAAAAACAAACCUUAGCUAGCAGUAUCCUGAGUAGGGCGGGACACGAGAAAUCCUGUCUGAAGCUGGGUCGACCACGAUCCAACCCUAAAUACUAAUACCAGAUCGAUAGUGCACAAGUACCGUGAGGGAAAGGUGAAAAGAACUGAGGUGAUCAGAGUGAAAUAGAACCUGAAACCAUUUGCUUACAAUCAUUCAGAGCCCUAUGUAGCAAUACAGGGUGAUGGACUGCCUUUUGCAUAAUGAGCCUGCGAGUUGUGGUGUCUGGCAAGGUUAAGCAAACGCGAAGCCGUAGCGAAAGCGAGUCUGAAUAGGGCGCUUAGUCAGAUGCUGCAGACCCGAAACGAAGUGAUCUAUCCAUGAGCAAGUUGAAGCUAGUGUAAGAACUAGUGGAGGACUGAACCCAUAGGCGUUGAAAAGCCCCGGGAUGACUUGUGGAUAGGGGUGAAAGGCCAAUCAAACUUCGUGAUAGCUGGUUCUCUCCGAAAUAUAUUUAGGUAUAGCGUUGUGUCGUAAUAUAAGGGGGUAGAGCACUGAAUGGGCUAGGGCAUACACCAAUGUACCAAACCCUAUCAAACUCCGAAUACCUUAUAUGUAAUCACAGCAGUCAGGCGGCGAGUGAUAAAAUCCGUCGUCAAGAGGGAAACAACCCAGACUACCAGCUAAGGUCCCUAAAUCUUACUUAAGUGGAAAACGAUGUGAAGUUACUUAAACAACCAGGAGGUUGGCUUAGAAGCAGCCAUCCUUUAAAGAAAGCGUAAUAGCUCACUGGUCUAGUGAUUUUGCGCGGAAAAUAUAACGGGGCUAAAGUAAGUACCGAAGCUGUAGACUUGCACACAACUUAGAUUAUUUAAGUUUAGAAUAUGAGAAACUAAGUUAUAUGUUUAGUUAUAUUUUUACUGAUUUUUAUAGAGUAAAGAUAGAAAUAAAACUUAGUAAAAUCAGUAAAAAUAUUCUUAGACUAAAGUUAAGUAGUUUAAGUUGUGUGCAAGUGGUAGGAGAGCGUUCUAUUUGCGUCGAAGGUAUACCGGUAAGGAGUGCUGGAGCGAAUAGAAGUGAGCAUGCAGGCAUGAGUAGCGAUAAUUAAUGUGAGAAUCAUUAACGCCGUAAACCCAAGGUUUCCUACGCGAUGCUCGUCAUCGUAGGGUUAGUCGGGUCCUAAGUCGAGUCCGAAAGGGGUAGACGAUGGCAAAUUGGUUAAUAUUCCAAUACCAACAUUAGUGUGCGAUGGAAGGACGCUUAGGGCUAAGGGGGCUAGCGGAUGGAAGUGCUAGUCUAAGGUCGUAGGAGGUUAUACAGGCAAAUCCGUAUAACAAUACUCCGAGAACUGAAAGGCUUUUUGAAGUCUUCGGAUGGAUAGAAGAACCCCUGAUGCCGUCGAGCCAAGAAAAGUUUCUAAGUUUAGCUAAUGUUGCCCGUACCGUAAACCGACACAGGUGGGUGGGAUGAGUAUUCUAAGGCGCGUGGAAGAACUCUCUUUAAGGAACUCUGCAAAAUAGCACCGUA